AUUGAACGCUGGCGGCAGGCCUAACACAUGCAAGUCGAACGGUAACAGGAAGCAGCUUGCUGCUUCGCUGACGAGUGGCGGACGGGUGAGUAAUGUCUGGGAAACUGCCUGAUGGAGGGGGAUAACUACUGGAAACGGUAGCUAAUACCGCAUAACGUCGCAAGACCAAAGAGGGGGACCUUCGGGCCUCUUGCCAUCGGCUGUGCCCAGAUGGGAUUAGCUAGUAGGUGGGGUAACGGCUCACCUAGGCGACGAUCCCUAGCUGGUCUGAGAGGAUGACCAGCCACACUGGAACUGAGACACGGUCCAGACUCCUACGGGAGGCAGCAGUGGGGAAUAUUGCACAAUAGGCGCAAGCCUGAUGCAGCCAUGCCGCGUGUAUGAAGAAGGCCUUCGGGUUGUAAAGUACUUUCAGCGGGGAGGAAGGGAGUAAAGUUAAUACCUUUGCUCAUUGACGUUACCCGCAGAAGAAACACCGGCUAACUCCGU
rnacentral:rRNA from 1 species